rnacentral:rRNA from 1 species
UAAAAAAUAAAAUAAUCUUCUAACUUAACGUUUUUGGUUGGGGCGACCAAGGGGAAAAACAAAACCCCCUUAUCGAGUGGGUGAAAAGUCACUCAAAAUUAGAACUACAGUUCUAAUUAAUAGAAAAUCUAACGAAUAAUGACCCAGGAAAUAUCCUGAUCAAUGAACCAAGUUACCCUAGGG